rnacentral:antisense_RNA from 1 species
AACGAUUUCAAAAUAAGUUUAUACUAAUGCAUUGAACUAAAAAUUAAUCCGCAUGGUUUUAAACAAAUCUAUACUUUUAAAUAGGGUAGCCAAAGCAAACACAAGAUGACCCAUUCAGUAAAGGAAGCUUGCAUUCUUGUUUUGCGAGUGUAAUUGAUUCAACCAAUGAGAGUUUUGAUCCAACCCAAUUGUCAAAAAUUGACAUAGUAAAGCGGUCUAUAUCUUGGUCAGUAACGUCCCAAAGCGCUCCGAGAAUUAAAGGGCUUCCACCAAUUAGGUAGUGAAUUGGCGUAAAAAAUACAUGGUUUGACCCAUAUGAUCUUAUUUUGGAAGAGCUACAACCAAUUAACAACGAAGGAGGCAUAUAGAAGUGAUAAUUUUCUGACUCCAAAUUCUCAGUGAUUAUUCCUCUUUCAAACAACUCUCCUUGGAUAAACUUUUCUCCAGCCUGGUGACCGCAAAAUAGAUAGAGAUUAGAUCGAUUAAAACUCAUAGUAUUCAUAAUUUCUGUUGCUUGAGGAAUUGAAUUCGAUAUUCCUGAACAUUUUGAACCAAAUUUUUGUUUAAUGAAUUCAAUAACAGUCUUUUCAGUUUCUUCUAAAUCUCCAGUUGGAUUUAUGCAAUAAUAUAUAUUACAGAAGCUGGCAAGCAAACGAAGGUUGCUUUCUUUAGAUUUCUGAAGCUGAUUAAAUAGAUUAUCGAUAUUAUUUUUACACAUUCUUCUGUUAAUCCCUCUAGUGAUUGGUUGAAAUUUCAAAUCGCAAAUACUUUCUAUUGGC